rnacentral:rRNA from 2 species
GUUUACCACGGUAUGAUUCAUGACUGGGGUGAAGUCGUAACAAGGUAACCGUAGGGGAACCUGCGGUUGGAUCACCUCCUUA